rnacentral:tRNA from 1 species
AGCCCGGUAGUGUAGCGGACAAGCAUGACGGGCUUUGGACCCGUCGACGGGAGUUCGAAUCUCCCCCGGGCUACCA